UCACAGCAUUAAUUCUAAAUGAACCAUAGUCUGGGAUAUCGAAGGGACUGCGUGAAUACAGUCAUGAAAUUACCACAAUUCCUCUCAAAGAACUGAGAGGAAAUAACAGCAGCAGCCCAGAGUGUUCGCCAAGUGCAGUCUGCCAAACGGAAGCUUUGAGACAUACACCUUCUUGUCUGCCACUGACUGAUACUUAACCAAGACUUGAAUAAAUAAAGUGUUGUUUCCUAGAAAACACUACCAGCAAGGCCAGCCAGUCUGAACCCAGUGUGUCAAAUGUCUUGAAGAAAUAAUCCUGAGGCACAAAUAUCUGAUUCAACAAGGUGUUGCCGAGUUCUUCAUGGUGUGCUGUAAGACAAUGCUAGUACAUGAGCACAUUUCUGCUUGAUUGAACAGUCUCUCGUAUUUCAGGACUGACUAAUGUCAACAUUGGGUCGAUCCUUGGUUGGAACCAGUUUCCAUAUUCUACAGAAGAGCCGAAGUUUCAAAGAGCUGGCACAUGAAACGAUACUAGUAAUUGACAACACUUUAUGAAAUUUAGUGUGGUGAUUAUUAUAAAUGUUUUAUCUCUCUUAGUCAUCUGAGUGAAGUUAAAAGUCAGUCUACUCCCUGAUUUCCACUUGACAAGCAUGUGGUUGAGAUGGGAAGUAACUUAAGCUCGAGUAGCUGCAAAGAGGUGGAGAUGGAUUUAAGUCCCAGCUAUGUGAUUCCAAAGCCUAUGUGCAUUGUGCUUAGCCUAUGGGCAUGUUGCUAAGCCUAAAUGCACUUUGCUAAGCCUAUGGGCACAUUACUAAGCCUAUGUGCACAUUGCUAAGCCUAUGGGCAUGCUUCUAAGCCUAUGGGCACUUUGCUAAGACUAGGAGGACGUUGCUAAGCCUAUGUGCACAUUGCUAAACCUAUGGGCAUGUUUUAAGCCUAUGGACACAUUGCUAAGCCUAUGUGCACUUUGCUAAGCCUAUGGGUACAUUGCUAAGCCUAUGGGCACUUUGCUAUAGCACAGUGCUUCCAGAUUCUGCCGACUUGAGGACUGGUAGGAGGGAUAAGGCCUAUUUAUGCUUAAUUUUCAGCCUUAUGGGACAGACAAGGACCCUAAUAGAAGUCAGACGAGGCAGCCUUCAGUUUGUUCAUGAGAGUAAUGACCUCUUACCACCAGAGAAACCUAACAGGAGAAUGAUCCGCUCAAAGGCAAAGUGUUGAGACCUCCACUAAAGGUUCUGUGGGAGCCUGGUGCUUGCUCAACCUGGAUGCUGUGGGGGAGCAACCUGACAUCAGAGGGUGGGCCUCCACAGUCCCCUCCCUUUCUACGUGCACGAGCAUCUAUGAAAUCUAUCUCCUUUGUCAACUGUAAAACUGUACAGAUCUCAGCAGGGUAUGGCAGCACACACCUAUAAUCUCAGCACUUGGGAGGUAGAGGCAGAAGGACCAGGAAAAGUUCAAGGUCAGUCUCAACAACACAGCAAGUUUGAGAUUUACCUUGGCUAAUGAGACCCUACCCUCAAAUCACCAAAAAACAAGCAGAGAAAUCAACAAAACUAUACAACUCUUCAUCAAGUCAUAUUUAUGAUCUUCUACAGUUUAGAGAACUCAUGCGUCUGUGCAUUCCACUGACCUGUGUCUGUUACUACUGCUUGGUUUCCCAAGGUAACGUACACCUUCUGAGGAGAAUGAUACCAGGGCAUAGACCACUUGGAAGAAGGACUCUAUCAAAAUGGGAUUGGAAAAAAGGUUCUGCCUUUCCAGCAGGUGUCUUCUACGUUAGGGUGUGAGUCUUGAUAAUUAGAAAGUGGGACAGGCCACGUUCAAGUGUUACACGGAAGGGUGAAGGAUCAGAAUAACCCUUCCUAAUUGCUUACCAUUAAAAUAUCGUGAAAUUGUGCUACGCACAAAAGUCACCAUAAAGCAUCCAGUAAUAGAGAUGCUUGGAACAUAGAGCAUUCUAGUAAUGAUACUGAUGCCUUCGUUCUUGUGUGGAGUCCAAGUUAAUUAAAUACCAUGCUGGACUUCGAGGGCACACCAGAGAACUGGGCUGAUGAGAUUAUUCUGAUGUUGUCAACACGGAAUCAGGCAGGCAUUAAAUACAAAGGAUCCAUAAGACUUGUGUUAGAUGAAUAAUUUGUAAUCUAAAAGAACGGUCCAGAGGCAAGCAAUUUUCACAGCGUGGUGAGGCUAAAGCUGAGGGUGGGGCACAGGAAAGAGCCAGGCAGGUACAAAGCUUUGGGAAGGGCCUGUUUCAGGCCAUGGGAGCCAAGUAUGAAGGCCCCGGGGGCAGGCAAGAGCCUAGCAAGUUACAGCCACAAGCCUGGUCUAAGCCUGACAGUACACAGGAGAUAGACGGCAUAGGGGCCCGCUAUCCUUCUGAGGCCGGGCUUCUUGCUAGUGAGUGAGAGCUGCUGAAGAAGCCCUUACAAGAAGAUAGCUUGAGGUUUCCAUGCAAAUUACAAGCUUAGGAGGGCUCAGCUGAAGCAGGCCUUUAGAAAGGCCCUUUAUAGGGUCUAAGCAAGAGGGGGUGCUGCUGGUGAAAACGCUCAAGAAAUCACAGCUUUCACUGGAACAGGCAGAGGACACCAGGAACCAAAGAAGGCCUGUCAUCAUUUGGGGCUGCUUCAUUUAGCUUCCUCUUGGCAUCUGCACAGGAAGGGCUGGUCUCCAGUACGCACAUUAAUCAAGCCUGCCGCCCUCACCGCAGCUGCCGCCAAGUCCUCUCCAGGUUCUCAACAAUGGUCUGCACAGCCUCACUCCAGCCAUCAACCCUUCCUUCUACCCGGACAGCCAGUCAGUCUAUCUAUCUAUUGCUUGAUUUGACCAAAGCUCGAUGGAUAAUUUGGAGGAAUGGCUCUGCGCCUAUUUUUAAUGACAGCCGGUGAGUCCGUAGAUUUAGGGAGUGCGUGUUGAGAUGAAAAAAGAAUGGAAUUUAAGAAACCUUCCAUGAGGUCUCUGAGUCAACCGUCUAAUGACUGAAAAAUAAAGAGAGAAAUACCUGACAGCACCCCUGGGUUCCAGCUUCCAAUCGGGCACACAUCUGCUCUGCAGAAGGACGAGGGGAUUGACUACUUUUUCAUGACCUGUAUCUAUUUUGGGGAGAUACUGCAUUGCAUCGGUAAAUAAUGAUCUGCCUUCUGUUGGCAUACAAUGCUUAAAUUAAUAAAAAUCUAAACGAUACAUCUUGCAGCGCAGCGUACUUAAUUGAAAGGCUGGAUGGCGGCAGUAGUAAUUUUCCUGGGUGAAAAUUAUUGGGAUGAGCUCACAGCAGCAUGAAUAGCUUAGUCAAUAUGGGGACUUCCACAGGCAGGCUGUUACAGGGUCCAUCGCACUUUCUAGAGAAGGUGGGUGGUGCUCCUCCAAUCCUUAAUGUGGCGGGGUCGAGAGUGGUAUAGAAAUUGAAACAGAUAACCGGUAAUUGCCCUAAAUAGACACUUUAGUGACUUUCCCUGCUUAACCUGUCUGCUCGAUCUUCAAGGUCUACAACGUGAUUAUAAGUAACUCCUGAGCUUCGCCAUUCUUAUUAAGAGCCCUUCUGCCCUUUGCUGAAGCACUCUUGGUACCUAGUUGAUGAGACCUGAAGACCUUCCGCAUGGAAUUUGCCUCACGUGUGGCAAGCUGCCACUGGGCAGAAAACUGCCCCUGCUUCAACUGCAGACAAAAUGUUGUCCCGAAAGGAGAAAGAGAUUUGGGGAAGUCGACUGCAGAGCGUUGCCAAGACAAGUUAAGCAGCCUUUCCUAAUCCCCACUUCACAAAGGGUCCGCCAAGUUAUAAGGACAGUUUUGGGGGACUGUCCAGGCAACUGUUCUCUGCCAUUUCUGUAGUUGUGGAAGCCACUUGCCCUACUUCCUGCACACUGGAGUAAUGUUUAUUCCUUCUCAGGUCUCUGAUGGCGUUGGAGACUAGAGAGUUACAGCCUCACGAGUAAGCUUCAGUUGCUUAGGACUUAAGAAAAUGUUUUAAGUCUAAGAAGAUGUUUCUGGGAUGGUGAUGCAAGUUAGGAAGUUGCCAAAGAUAUGAGAACUGGACACUGUGAAAGUAAGUCUUACCUGAUGGUUUUCAUGCUUCUUAUUAUUGCACAGUUUAUUACCAUAAGGAAAAGAGCCUUUAAGGGGACUAAAAGGCAGAAUGGUAGAGAGAAUACAUUGUGUAUUGUAUCGACGCAUUACCUGUCAAUCAAAACAAAAACAAAAACAAAAACAAAAACUGUGGCCUAUAGGAAAGGUUAGAAUAAAAGGUGGGACAUCUGGUAGGCAGAAAGGAUUCUGGGAUAGUGAUGCAGGAGAAGGGUCCUUAGGAAGCUGUGAGGAGGAGACGCACGGUACCUGAGUAGAGGUGACCAGCCACAUGGCAAAAUGUAGAUUAAUAUAAAUGGGUUAUUUUAAAUUAUUAGCUAGUCAGGAAACGAGCCUAGCUAUGUGGCUGAGGUAUUUGUACAUGCAUUUUGAGUCUGAAUCAUUAUAGUAGGAGCUUGGGGCUGGGAGGAAAAUGGCUUGUGACAUCAUUAUCAAACCACUAGCAUUACGGCUAGCUACGCUGUCCGAGUACAGAUUUCCUUGGUGGCUGUGGUGGUGGGGAGAUACAUGAGAGAGAUAACAUCUAGAGUUGGUCCUGGCUCCAAGAUGAAGCAUCGCUCUAAUUGGACGGAAGUGUCCUGCUGAAGGUGUGAACCCAUCCAAAAGCAGUCUGAAACCCCAGGCACCCUGUCAGUGUGCCACUUUCUCCUAUUCGCACGCAUGUCCCGCACCCCCAUCCCACUGGUUCUGUUACUCUGCAGAACCCUGACUAACACAGUUUGGGACCAGAAAAUGGGCUCUGGCUGGCUGUGACUGAUCUGACUAUGCUGCUUUGGGAAGGAUAAUGGAAUUAUUUGGAACUUUGGUCUAAUGCCUUUGAGUGCUCAAAACUCAAUCGGCUGUUGUUCAAUGGAAGCUGGGAAGAUGAGUGUGCUGAGGGCAAGCAUGGGAGCAGCAUUCUCUGCUCCAGGUGCCUGCCUCCAGGUGCCUGCCUCCAGGUGCCUCCCUCCAGGUGCCUGCCUCCAGGUGCCUGCCUCCAGGUGCCUGACUCCAGCUAGUUGCUGCCCCGACUUUCCUCAGUGACAGAGAUGAGAUACACCCUUUUCUUCCUUAGCUGCUGUUCACCACUGUUUAUCACAGCAGCAGAGAACAGACUAAUGCAGGUAUGUGGGACUGACUCUGUAGGAAUGUGGGCAUGGCCCUGCAGCAUUGACCCUCCCUGCUAACUGUGGCUUGCUUUUAAGGAGGCUUUGGGUGAAAGGUUCUCCUUGUAGGUCUUUAAGAACGUAGUAGGAUGCACCUAAAGUUGACUGUCUUGUCACAGAAGCCACAAAUAAAGUAAAAUGAUCUAAGCAAGAAAAAAAUAAUCUUAUGCAAUAAUUUUUUUUUAGUAUACUGAUCUUUUAUCCUCUCCAAAACAUCCCAUUUCUCCAAGGAGUUAUCCAACAAGACCAACAGAUUGUGAAACUUGGAACAGGGAAACUUUGGGGGAAUUCAGAGGCCAAAUGGUUGGGAAAGGCUUUCCUUAGAAGAUGUCCACAGAAGAAACAGCAGCCUAUCUUAAAAACAAAGUUGAAAAUUUGAUGUGCAGUCUCUGUCUAUUUCCACAGAAAUAAGGAAGCCAGGAAGCUGAUACGGCCCCUGGGUAGGACCCCUGGCAAGCCCACACAGUCCCAGUUCCUUAAUCUCUCCUCACUUUUACUUUCCCCACUGCUUCUCUCACCACGGCAGCUUUCUCUGACCCUUUUCUAAGUGAGAGAAUCACUGUGCAUGGCUACAGGAUGAAGCUCAUGGAGAACGCUGUCCUGGAUCUUUUGUGGAGCUCUGACACAAUGACAAGCUACUAGGGAAGUUAGUUCUUACCAGUUGCACAAUGAUUUUAAUUGACCUUCCUAAAUGAAGCUGCCUUGAAAAUCAGAUAGUCAGUGUUAGGAUGUGAAAUUUGGGCAAUUCUCAUCUUCUGUAGAGGUUGUUACACACUGGGGCCCUCUACUGUGCCGAAUGCAGCCUAAUCGUUUAGAAAUAAUUAGUGUGCUUUUGCUUCAGUGGUAGGACGCAUAAUUUAUUAAUUGGCUGCUAUUUCCAGAUUAAAGGGCACAAUAAAUUAAGAAAUUAGCAUUAAGAAGGUAUUGAGAAAAUGACUAGAUUAAAUUCUGAGAAGAACAAGAUGCCUACAAGUUAAGGACGAGGGUAUUUAUUGCCUAGAGCUAGCUAAUGACAAGUUUGGGGACAACUGUUUAAGGGCCUUUAGCUUCAGCUUUUCCGGUUCUAACAAUAUAGAUAGGCUGCAGUAAUUCCAGAUCCCUAAUUUACAUCUUAAACAAGAGUCAGAGAAAGCUUUAUAUUAAUUAUUAUGGUCCCUGGGAUCUCCCACGCAGACUGGCAAUGAAGGUGCAAAGAAAACAGAAAACAGGCUGGCACCAGCCAUGGAGGCCACGUAGCCUCCUCACUGAAGGGGGCACAGCUGCACGGACACAGGCCCUGACAGCCACGCCUCAGUGUAAUGGGCGAGUGUCCCAACCUGUACAGAAGCGCCCAGAGGCGGCCUUGGAAGCAGGUGAGUAUUUGAAACAUACCAUCUGCCAAAUUCCUGGCUGGUGAUCAGACCCGAUCACGCGGCGUUCUGUGUUUACGGACAACUGCCAUCAUGGGUAUGCAAGGAGGGGUCUCCACAGCCUUUCUCGAAACGGUGCUGUGAGGGUCACUGUAGACCGAUUUCUUCCUCGACCUGUCCCCAAGUGCAGCCCCAUGCUGGAUUGGGAGUUCUGAGGCGAAGCAUGAUGACUGCACCAGCUGAAACCAACUGUCUGCUCGCUCAGUUACACGGUACCAGUCAUUUCUUCCCUCUCUACUGUGGAGGCUCUGAACCGGACCCCUCCUAUCUCUUGCAGCUAUUCCCACCAAACUGACCCGGAUACAACUUACCCUCCGUUCUCUGCUUAUGAAUCUAAGUAAAUUCUCUGAGUCUGGGAUCCUUUGUGUGCAGCAAAAAGCCUCUCUGGCCGCCAUGUCAGAAGAUUUGGACGGAAAAUGGAGGAUGGACUGUAGAUGCUGUUUGCCGUGUAGGUGGAGCUUCUGAGCCAUUUACGCACACCUGCUAAGCCCUUGCCCGAAUUACACAGUGGCACUACGGAGCCUCCUGGGGACCGGUGAAUGUGUAAGGGUCCGAGCAUCACUGAAGGAAGACCCCAAACUCAGAUAUCAUGCAAAGACAAAGAGCGGUUUAAUCUGCAGAAACAGCCAGCACGGGGCGGGGGGGGUCGACCACUCUUGGAAAUGGCGGACCCAGACAAAGGCAAGCAGGCCUUCUCAUAGGGGACCAGGGGGACUCUCCAGAAGGAUUAGGUAAGCUCUAAUGUGAUUGGUAGGGGCCAAAGCGGUGAUAUUAGUCUAACUUUGAUUGGCUAUUACGUUCGUUCUUCUGUAUUUAGGGAGUGGGUUGGGUGAUCUAAAAUUUCAUUGGUGGGUGCUGUGGAGGUCACAGGCAUUGGCUUCUGAAAUGGAGAUAAACGGUGUUUGUGUUGUCCUUUCAAGUGGACCAGCUUUCCCAGCUCCAUCCCUCAGAAAAAGGAGCAUCUCCACAGGAACUGCUUAUGUCUAGGCAAACACCGAGCCCCAAGCAGCUAGAAAACUUACUCUCUUGUCUUGGCCCAUAUUCCAACAGAGACCUAGUGGAUGGCUGUGCUGGUGGAGGUACAGAGUCCUCUGCACUGAGCACUCUAUACAGACUUCAGGCAUUGGCGACUAUGGCAGCCUGGAAAGGUCAGAGUUCAAGUUUGUUGUUGAGCUCAGUGCAUAGGUAAGGGAGGAAACACGCUAAACAAAAUAAAAGUAAUUUUGAACCAUUCCAUUCUGCAAAGAGUAAGACGAUGAAGGGCAUUAGAACACAUCUUCCCACCUCUGAAAUCUGAGGCGUUCCUCUCGCUGCCUGCAUUGGAGCCCUCUGCAUUGUGGCUACUGUGCAGUGAGCUGCUGCGCUCUGACUACCGGGGUGAUGUUCUAGCUGUCGUGAUCACUGAAAAUACUUGUUUUCAGGAGCUGCGGAGACGGUGCCACGGGCAAAGUGCUUGGCGUGGAAGUCAGAGGACCUGAGUCGUCGUGAUGCCCAGAACCAAAGGGAAAACAAACCAAAUAGUGUUUGUAAUCCCAGCGCUCACGUCGCCAGGACCCAGACAGACACAGGAGGGCUCCCAGAAGCUCAAGGACCAGCUGACUUGGCAGAGAAUGAGAGAUCUUGCCUCAUAUGAGGUAGAAGGACAGGAUCUCCCAUGGACCAGGCUAGCCCUGAGCUCAGCAUGCAGUGGGGUUGGCCUUGAACUUGAGCUCCUCCUGCUUCCACCUCCCCAAUGGUGUGAUCACAGGGCGCUCUCACCACAGCUGGCUAAGAAAAGUGAUCCUCACAGAGAAAACCCUGAAAGAAGCAUGGGUCUCAGAUGGAGGAGAAGUUGAGAAAAGUCAAAGUAUAGAUGGUACCUGCCUGUUCCUUUCAGAGCCACAUACAUCUGGAUCCCCCACUCCCCCACCCUCGAGGGGGCUAUGCUGGGAACUGUAGGGGGACCAGGGCAGAGUUGGUGUGGUGAAAGAGAGCGAUGUGUCAUCAAAGCCCAGGGCAGCCAGAUCCAGCUUGCUUCUCAGAGGUAUGAGCUGGGCGGGAUGGGAACAUGAGAAGGACACUGGGGACGGAGAGUAUCGAGUACCCUAACACAGAGACCACUGGAGUCACGCAGAUGGUAAAUGGAAGGGAAGGGGAGAUUGCUAAUGACUGAAGCGGGAGGGCUUUGAAAGCUGCCCAGAAGCCUAGGAGAGAAAUUCAGAUCCUCAUCGUCAGAUACCAGGAACAGGGGAUGCUGUAGUUCUUGGAACUUUCAAAUAGAUCGUUUUAGAAUGAUGCCAGCCCCACUGCCAAGCGUCUUCCAUCUCGCAGGCUACACACACAUUAUCUAACUGCUUGGCCGAGUAUCGGUAAGUCUCCUAUUACAGGAGAGAAAGGGGACUGGGUGAAGGAAGCGUACCGUGCCAAGUGACCGCCAUGCAGCAGCAUCCGGAGCCACAGCGCUCACUAUGAUGAUCUCACUGCCAGUUACCCACUGUGCCUCCCACUUCUGCACUAUUCCUGUGUUAUCCUGGGGCUUCAAAAAGAUAAAUUGGGGGGGUCUGCUGAGGUGACUCAUCAGGUAAAAGCAUUUGCUGAGCAAGUCUGAGGGCCUGAAAUCUGGCACCCAUGCUGUGGUGGAAGGGGCCAGCCAGCUCCUAAAAGACUUCUGAUCUCCACAUGCACACUAUGGAAUACAUACAACCCCCUCUCCCGACACCGACACACACACACACACACACGCCAUACACAUGCAACGAAUAGAAUUUAAAAAUGAGUCACAAUGAGUCAUAUGUUGAUUCAAUAAACACUACCAGAACGGCAAGAUAUCCAUAUGCGAAAAAAAUGAAACCUUGCACCACAUAAUGACAUGAGUAUAAAGCCCCAAAAUAUAAAAUUUCAAUAGAAAACAUAGGUUUAAAAAAAAUCUUUGUUCUCUUGGAUUGGGCAAAGAUGUCUUACGCAGACUAUCAAGGCCUCAUCUUCACAAGGAGAAUGCUGAUAGGACAGGCUGCACCCAAACCCAAGCUUCUACCCCUUAAAGGCUGUCAGCGAGGUGGCAGGACAAGGCCCAGGUGGAGAGAGACAAAUUACAGAUCGUGUAUUUGCUACACAGAACGAAAGACUCUCAUGGCUCUGCAAGAAAACAUCUGACCUUUUCCAAACAGGCAAACGAUUUGAACAAAUGUGUCUUCAAAUGAGAUAAGCUUGUGAAACACACUUAUGGGUAGAUGAUAUAUUUGAAAUAACAAUCAUUAGUUAUUAAUGAAUACAAGUUAAGCACAAAGUCAGAUGACAACGCAUAACAUCACGCCACUGAGAAUGAAGACAAGGGCUGACGAGAGGAGUCACAACUGGAGUUCUAAGUCACGGUUGGUGGGAGUUCAAAUGUGUCUGUCGCUCAGCGAAACAACCCAGCAAGAUCAAGCUCAACAGAUGUUUGCCAGAUUACUAGCAAUCCCAAUCCUAAAUAUUUACCUGCAGGAAAUGAAAAUUUACAUUCAUCCCUUGCAGUCUGGGUGGAAACCUAAGUCAGGAUCCCCAUUAUGGAAAGCAUUGGGGUGGGGGUGGGUUUCUCAAAACUAAGGUAGAAUUACUUGAUGAUCUGUGGAUUCUACUCCACCUCCCAGGAAGUGAGAUCAGGACACCUCAGUGGUGCAAUUCUAUCCUGUGUUCACUGUGCACUAUUCUCAACAGCUGAGAAUGAGAUCGGCCUGUGCCUACCACAUAAAGACUAUCGCUAUACAUGCACACACGUUUACAGAUGUUUGUGUAUUUGCACAUAUGCAAUGGAAUACUAGGUGGCCAUGAAGAAAAGAAUGAGCUCCCGUCAUUGGUGUGAACAUGGGCUUAACCGGCAAUCGACGAAGCAAGAAAGAUGAGCCAGUCAAUGGCCUCACCACGUGACCUCAUUCACACGAAGAAUCUAAAAAUGUUGAUCUCAUGCAAGUUGAAAUUAGAGAGCUGGGGAUACAGCUCAGUGGUAGAGCACUUGCCUCAGCCAGUGUUGGUGAGGCCCAAGUUCAAUUCCUACUACUGAAAACCCAAGCUAGGAGUGGAACGAUGGCGACCAGGGACAACAGGGAAGGGCGCCCUGAGGAGAGGCUGACAAAUGGGUAUCAGGUUCUAGUUAAGUCCGGAUUGGAAGAUCUGGUAGGGUGACUACAGACAGGGACUGGUUACUCAAAAUAAGACCUCAAAAAUAAGGAAGAAAGGAUUUUAAAUGUUUUGCCAUAAAAUAUUAAUAACUGUCAUAGAUAUUUUUUGUUAACUCAACAGAAAUCUAGACAUACAUGGAAAGAGGACAUCGCAACUGAAUUUUGCCUUCUGAAAAAUGGGCUGUGGUUAUGUGUCUGGGGGGCAUUUUCCUAACUGAUGACUGAAGAAAGAGGGUCCAGUCUUCUCUGGGUGGUACCAUCCCUGGGCAGGUAGGCCUGGGCUAUCGAAGAAAAGCGCUAAGCAAUCCAUCAGGAUCAAGCUUAUGUGUGGCACUCCCUGAUGGCGCUGCUUCAGAUCCUGUCUCAGUUCCUGCCUUGGGUUCCUGUCCUAGCUUCCCUCAGUGAUGGAGUAUGGCCUGGGAGUUUUAAAAUGAAAUAAAAUCUUUCUUCUCACAUAUUGUUUUUAGUUAGUGUUUUAUUGCAGCAAUAGAAGGCAAACUGGAACACUGUUUGAGGAGAUAAAUAUGCUUAACUGGAUUAUACAGCACAUGCAUGCAUAAAAUGUGUAUGGUACCCAGCUGGAAAUCAAGCAUAAAUAUCAUCAAUAAAGCCCAAUGAGGAGUUUUGAGGGGCAUUUAGUAGAGCUGUACCCCUAAAGAGUAGUGACACCAAUCUCGUGCAUUUGUCAGAACUGAAAGAACUGUAUAGUUAAAAAAAAUAAAAAAGGAAUUUUACUAAACAUAAACUACAUUUCCAGCUUUUUUAAAAAAAAAUACAUGGAUGGUAUCUCUGUUACAGAUUUAUAGAUACAGCAUAAAAAAAAAA
rnacentral:sRNA from 1 species